rnacentral:misc_RNA from 1 species
AAGUCGUAACAAGGUUUUUAUGGUUAACAAUGUGAGAAAUGAUCCUUCCGUCAACUGAUAGAAGAAAUUCUCACACAGUCAAUCACUCGGAAGCCUUAGCAAGCCCUGAAAUAUGGGAGUAUUCGCGACUCAAAAUAAUGAUCAACUUUUAAUUUGCUAGUCACUCUGCAAGCGGGUGGCAACAUUUUCAAAUUGCGGGAAGUACCGUUUGUUGGAGAUCUACUAAGUUAGUUCAAGCAAUUGAUCUAAUGGCUUUGGAGAAAGACCAAAGGGAUAGUAACAAUGAUCUCCAUUUACUAAUACGGUUAAUCCGCAUCGAAUCAUCUCCACCUCACACGUCGAGAUACAAUGCUCACAGACUAAACGUUCAAUUAAGCCUACGAAAUAACGAACAACUCUUAGCAAUGGAUGUCUUGGGUCGU